rnacentral:misc_RNA from 1 species
UCCGAGUUGACCCCGGCAGUCUCCCAUGAGUCCCCGGCAUAACCCGCUGGCAACAUGGAACGAGGGUUGCGCUCGUUGCGGGACUUAACCCAACAUCUCACGACACGAGCUGACGACAGCCAUGCACCACCUGUGAACGCCCCCGAAGGACACCACAUCUCUGCGGCUUUAGCGCCCAUGUCAAACCCAGGUAAGGUGGGGAUGACGUAGACCUUGGACC